UACGAAGGGGGCUAGCGUUGUUCGGAAUUACUGGGCGUAAAGCGCACGUAGGCGGUUUUUUAAGUCAGAGGUGAAAGCCCGGAGCUCAACUCCGGAAUUGCCUUUGAGACUGGGAGACUUGAAUCCAGGAGAGGUGAGUGGAAUUCCGAGUGUAGAGGUGAAAUUCGUAGAUAUUCGGAAGAACACCAGUGGCGAAGGCGGCUCACUGGACUGGUAUUGACGCUGAGGUGCGAAAGCGUGGGGAGCAAACAGG
rnacentral:rRNA from 1 species